rnacentral:rRNA from 1 species
CCUACGGGAGGCAGCAGUGAGGAAUAUUGGUCAAUGGGCGGGAGCCUGAACCAGCCAAGUCGCGUGAGGGAAGACGGUCCUAUGGAUUGUAAACCUCUUUAGGCGGGGAGCAAUGCCGGGCACGCGUGCCCGGAGGGAGAGUACCCGCAGAAUAAGCAUCGGCUAACUCCGUGCCAGCAGCCGCGGUAAUACGGAGGAUGCGAGGGUUAUCCGGAUUUAUGGGGUUUAAAGGGUGCGUAGGCGGAUUUUUAAGUCAGCGGUAAAAUGUCCGGGCUCAAACCGGGUCGGCUGUUGAAACUGGGGAUCUUGAGUGGGCGAGAAGUAUGCGGAAUGCGUGGUGUAGCGGUGAAAUGCGUAGAUAUCACGCAGAACUCCGAUUGCGAAGGCAGCAUACCGGCGCCCGACUGACGCUGAGGCACGAAAGCGUGGGGAUCGAACAGGAUUAGAUACCCGGGUAGUC